UGGGGAAUAUUGCACAAUGGGCGAAAGCCUUACCCAGCAACGCCGCGUGAGGGAAGAAGGUUUUCGGAUUGUAAACCUCUGUCCUGGGGGACGAAGGAAGUGACGGUACCCCGGGAGGAAGCCCCGGCUAACUACGUGCCAGCAGCCGCGGUAAUACGUAGGGGGCGAGCGUUGUCCGGAAUUAUUGGGCGUAAAGGGCGCGUAGACGGCCGAGUAAGUUAUAGGUGAAAGCCCAUCUUUCAAGGAUGGAAUUGCCUGUAAUACUGCCUGGCUUGAGUGCAGGAGAGGGAAGCGGAAUUCCUAGUGUAGCGGUGAAAUGCGUAGAUAUUAGGAGGAACACCAGUGGCGAAGGCGGCUUUCUGGCACAUAACUGACACUGAGGAGCGAAAGCGUGGGUAGCAAACAGGAUUAGAUACC
rnacentral:rRNA from 1 species